GAUCUGUUUCUCCAUACUCAUCCUGCUGAGCACAGGUAUAACCCUUGGAAAUGAUGCAGGAGGCAUUAAGAAGAACUCUGAAAGGCAGUGAGAAAAAGUAUGGAAGCCAGGUUGAUGGCCAAGUCUCUUAAUAAAAGUUCAUUCUGAGAGGUGACAGCCUGCUGGCAGCCCUCCAGCCCUCGCUCGCUCUGGGCGCCUCCUCGGCCUUGGAGCCCACUCUGGCCACACUUGAGGAGCCCUUCAGCCCGCCGCUGCACCGUGGGAGCCCCUUUCUGGGGUGGCCAAGGCCGGAGCUGGCUCCCUCAGCUUGCGGGGAGGUGUGGAGGGAGAGGCGCGGGCGGGAACCAGGGCUGCGCGGCGCUUGCGGGCCAACGCGAGUUCUUCGUGGGCGUGGGCUCCGCGGGCCCGCACUCAGAGCUGCCGGCCGGCGGACAAGCCCCAGGAAGUGAGGGGCUUAGCACCUGGGCCAGCAGCUGCUGUACUGGAUUUCUUGCAGGGCCUUAGCUGCCUCCCCUCGGGGCAGGACUUAGAACCUGCAGCCCGCCAUUCCUGAGUCUUCCC
rnacentral:lncRNA from 10 species